AGAGUUUGAUCCUGGCUCAGGACGAACGCUGGCGGCAUGCCUAAUACAUGCAAGUCGAACGAUGACGUUCAUCUAGUUUACUAGAUGAACUGAUUAGUGGCGAACGGGUGAGUAACACGUGGGGAAUCUGCCCAUGAGUGGGGGAUAACAUUCGGAAACGAAUGCUAAUACCGCAUAUAUCUUUAGACCGCAUGGUCUUUAAAAGAAAGACGGCUUCGGCUGUCGCUCAUGGAUGAUCCCGCGGCGUAUUAGUUAGUUGGUGGGGUAAAGGCCUACCAAGACAAUGAUACGUAGCCGACCUGAGAGGGUGAUCGGCCACACUGGGACUGAGACACGGCCCACACUCCUACGGGAGGCAGCAGUAGGGAAUCUUCCACAAUGGGUGCAAACCUGAUGGAGCAAUGCCGCGUGAAUGAAGAAGGUCUUCGGAUCGUAAAGUUCUGUUAUUAGAGAAGAACAAGUCAAGGAGUAACUGUCUUGACUUUGACGGUACCUAACCAGAAAGUCACGGCUAACUACGUGCCAGCAGCCGCGGUAAUACGUAGGUGACAAGCGUUGUCUGGAAUUAUUGGGCGUAAAGGGAGCGCAGGCGGUUGGAAUAGUCUGAUGUGAAAGCCCACGGCUUAACCGUGGAAGGUCAUUGGAAACUGUCCAACUUGAAUACAGAAGAGGUAAGUGGAAUUCCAAGUGUAGCGGUGAAAUGCGUAAAUAUUUGGAGGAACCCCGGUGGCGAAGGCAACUUACUGGUUCUGUAAUUUGACGCUGAAGGCUCAAAAG
rnacentral:rRNA from 1 species